AGAGCAGCCUCCACUGAUGCUGAGUGGAGCGGCCACUCCGGCCUGCGAACAUGAGCUUCCUGCUUGGGGGCUGAUGUUCCUGAACGGCGGAGAGCAGCGUGGCUACCUUGACUUAGGGGUUUGGUUGUUUCGCCAUCAUGCUGCUGACCUGAGGAGGAAAGCAUCGGCGCUGGCAGGAGUGGCCGGCAGGCUGACACAUCACGGGGAGCAACGAGAACAUCUGGGAAGAACGUCCGUAAAACGAAGAUGGAGAAAGGAAAGUGUUUAUUUGCAGGAUGCCAAGCAAGGAGAAUCAGGCAGCUCACACUGAGCAUCUGUCUUCCACAGUGGCUUGCAAGUAAGGGUUUUUAAAGGUGAGGUGGCUGGUGCCAAGGCAAUGAGUUACCUCAACUGCUCACAGUCAGUUACACAUCAAAUGCCUUGUUCUACUCAUCCCCCGCUUCUCACUACUGCAUUUGACUCGUCAUUUAAAAAAGAAAAGAAAAAAAAGAAGGAGAAACAGAAAGGCAGGGGUAAAUUUUAGGAAAGCAGAAAUUAAAGGCAAAUUCAUGAAUCAAUACAUUGAAAUGAUGUAAAGACUGAUUUUAAAAGUGAAAUGAGAACCCAGCACAUGGUGUGUCAAAGGCUAAAUGCAGAGCAGACAUUAACACGUAAAUGUUCCCUGUGCUUCAGAAAGAAAGAUGAAGCCGGUGCGGUGACUCACGCCUGUAAUCCCAGCACUUUGGGAGGCCAAGGUGGGCAGAUUACGAGGUCGGGAGAUCAAGACCAUCCGGGCCAACAUGGUGAGACCUCGUCUCUACUAAAAAGUACAAAAGAAUUAACUGCAUGUGGCAGUGCAUGCCUGUAGUCCCAGCUACUCGGUACGCCGAGCCAGGAGACUUCCUUGAACCCAGGAGGCAGAGAUUGCAGUGAGCCGAAAUCGCAUCACUGCACAAUAGCCCGGGUGACAGUGCAAGACUCCAUCUUAAAAAAAAAAAGAAAAGAAAGAAAGAGAUUGUUGUGGGUUUCCUCCCUGUGGAAUACUUCAAGAGUUUAAGGAACACAGAAGCUCUGUGCUGGACGGCGUCGGGGCACAAGGAGUUUUCCCAGGAAUUCCACGGAGCAGCCACUGCCUUGAUGCCCAAGCCUUCGAGAGGUAAGUCAGAAAGACGCUGCAGUCCGUCACCUCUUGGAAACAUGCUGAUUUCCAUUUCUAUAACCCUUGUGUUUUCUCAGUUUCCUAAAAUGAGUAUAUAUUUCUCCUGUGUGCUUUUUUAAUUUAUUGUUUUAGACAUCAAACUGGCUGUGGGAGAGGCCUUUCUGGACUACGC
rnacentral:lncRNA from 13 species